CAAGCCCUUCGCGGCCCCGCCCGGCCCCGCCCCGUCCCACUCGACUCCCCCUCCCCACGCCCGCCGCCCCGCCGCCUCACUCUCGGCUCAGGUUCGGCGCCGCCAUGUUGGAUCCAUCCGCGCUGCUCUCCCGGGCCUGUCUCACCGCGCCGCAUCCGGGCUCCAGCCGCCACCGCCUCCGCCACCGCCGCCGCCGCCGCGGGCGUGGGGGAGGGGAGGGCCGGGCGGGGGUGGCUGCAUCCUGCACAGCGCCUCCCGGAACCUGGUCGGUUAGUGUCGGCUUCGAGACCAUAACGAGGCAUGAGCAGAGUAGCCAUACUAGGUGAGGGCAGCCUGGCAACGGCAUUAAGCUGGGAGUAGAUAGCUUCACGUCGGGAAGAGAGACUGGAGACUGGCAGCCAUCUUGCUUUGGGGCAAGCUGGCAACGCAGGGUUUUUCUAACGGCAGCUUCCCGGAGGUUCUAAGAAGUGGAGAGAUAACGUAUUUGAAUGUGAAAGCCUUGGUGGCGCCAGAGCUGGCUGGUAUCGGACUUCAAGGCCCUUGGGAGAGUGGGACUGGCAGCCAUGAUACAUAAGGGCGGAAUAGUACCGGAGUCGGACUGCCCGGUGAACUUAGGUGAAAGUUCAAGAUCUGGAUUUAACCUUUGCUUUGAACUUCCUGUCACCCAGACGUUCUGAAACCCGGACUUUACAGCAACGCUUCACAGACUCUCUCGGAAUUCAUCCCUUCAGUAUUUUCCUUUUGAGCUCCCAUUUCCUGUCGAAAGUCGCCUCAGCUGACUCGUGAAGGACUGUUGAGAAUUGAAUUGGGGGUUGAGGUGGGAUAGGCUCAAGUAUGUUCUGGAGCUGCCAACAGCCUGAUGUGGCUAAAGGAAAAGGUGAGGGGCAGGUACAGGAAGGAGGCCUGUCAUUGGCUGAGAAGGAAGGAAGGAAGAGGAGAAGACUGGAAUGGAAAGGAGGAAGAGACAGGAGGGAGAGGAGAGAAGCCGUGGCAGGACAAAAUGGCAGGUGACGUUAAGAUCCCAAGUUGUUAUGAAUGUUUAAGGGAUGGAUGUGUAUUGGGCUUUGUAUGUUUAGGUGGGCAAUUAUAUCUUAUCAAUUGGGCCAAAGGUUAUUGUGUUGUGUGUUCUUUCAUGUGUAGAUAUAAGUGUAGGAAAGUGUGGCAUCUGGUCUGGGCCGCCACAGAGUUGAGAUGUGUCUUUCUGGCAUGGAAACCUGCCUUGGGAACUAGAUAGGUAGAAAGAUUGCUGCCGGGCUCAGAGAGAGGCCUUCGGCAGUGUGAUAUGAGAUGAAACAGAGUGAGUGAGACGCUUUGCUGACUGAGGAUUAAGAUGUCCAGCACUGCAUUGCUGGACCCAGCAAGGUAAAAGACAACCAUACUUCGGGGCUGGGGAUUUAGCUCAGUGGUUAGAGUGCUUAGCUAGGAAGCGCAAGGCCCUGGGUUCGGUCCCCAGCUCCGAAAAAAAGAGCCAAAAAAAAAAAAAAAAAAGACAACCAUACUUUUUUUGUUUUUUAUAUUUUUAUAACAGAUAUGGCUCAUACACUCCAGAGCCAUAGUCACUCAUGUAUGGUUCUAGAAUUAAGUGUCUCUAUCCUUCUCUCCAAUGAUAGGUUUUACUGGUUUUCUUUUUUUCUUUCUUUUUUUUUUUUUUUAAAGAUGUUAUUUUAUUUAUAUGAGUACACUGUAGCUGUCUUCAGACACACCAGAAGAGGGCAUCAGAUCUCAUUACAG
ensembl:lncRNA